GAGCAGAUCUGGACAGGAGAAAGCUGAAAAACUACUGCCAUGCAAAGCCUUCAUCUUCACUUUUGAUGAACCCGCCAUCGCUAUGUUUCUCACGCUAACCUGUUAAUAACUCCUCUGUGCCUGCUUUGCAUCCUCAUGUACUCCCCACAUGUAAAAUAGUGCUCAGGUGGACGUUACACUCUUCAAACACAAUGUUGCUGCUCUCUCUCCCUUUUUCCUCUGGCUCGGGAAGUGUGCGGGUGAGAUGCACCAGAUCCACACAUUUUGGUGAGGACUGAGUGACUUCGAUUGAGAGCACAGCCCGAGCCACCCACAGGUAGGGUGACACCCCUGGGUCCAGCCUUCCCCUGAACUAGUUUGGUCACAUCUAUAGCACAUCUGUGAAUGAAUCCAAGCGCUUACAAAUGUAAACCUCAAAGAGCGAAAUGUUUCUAAUGUUGCCAGCCUUUGUGGAGAAAUGACAAAUUUAAAGACGCACGCAUGGUGCUGUGUGCAAAAUUCAUCCUUGCUAAACAGCUGCGCUCGCAGAAUAAAUAAACUAAUUCUAUGCUGAUACAAAAUCAAAAGCAAUUUAAUUAAAGACUCUUAAGUUUUAAAGGGUUUUAAAUGCUAUACGUUUUGGGGAAAUAUCAGAAAAUGUAGCUUGACUGACGUCAGUUCCCAUCUCUGGGAUGGGAGGCCAUUUGCUAUUCUGUUUAAGGCAGGCUGGAUUGUCUUAUUUUGGAGCCAGCUUGGUGGGGGGUUUUCUUUGCUGCUGCUUCAGAGCUCUGAGCUUCAAAGGCUGAAAUUAAUGGUGAACAAAAUUGUGCGGCUCUGACCAUCCCAUGCGGGGCAAACCCAUCGAGGGUUAUCAUUAAGUAAAGAAAUAAAGAAAAAAAAAACCUGCCAGUUCCAAAAAAACCUCAUCAGAUAAUGACCUCUGUGAUUGGGUUUUCAUUACCAAACAGCAUCCAGAGAUUGUCUGCCCCAUAGAAG